rnacentral:rRNA from 1 species
GACAGAGGGGGCAAGCGUUGCUCGGAAUUACUGGGCGUAAAGGGCGCGUAGGCGGGAUGGCAAGUCGGUCGUGAAAUCCCUCGGCUCAACCGAGGAACGUCGAUCGAUACUGCUGUUCUUGAGGAUUGCAGAGGAGACUGGAAUUCCCGGUGUAGCGGUGAAAUGCGUAGAGAUCGGGAGGAACACCGGUGGCGAAGGCGGCCAGCUGGCGCUGACCUGACGCUGAGGCGCGAAGGCAUGGGGAGCGAACGGG